rnacentral:rRNA from 1 species
AACGAACGCUGGCGGCAUGCCUAACACAUGCAAGUCGAACGAAGUCUUCGGACUUAGUGGCGCACGGGUGCGUAACGCGUGGGAAUCUGCCCUUGGGUGCGGAAUAACUCAGAGAAAUUUGUGCUAAUACCGCAUAAUGUCGCAAGACCAAAGAUUUAUCGCCCAAGGAUGAGCCCGCGUAAGAUUAGCUAGUUGGUGAGGUAAAAGCUCACCAAGGCGACGAUCUUUAGCUGGUCUGAGAGGAUGAGCAGCCACACUGGGACUGAGACACGGCCCAGACUCCUACGGGAGGCAGCAGUGGGGAAUAUUGGACAAUGGGCGAAAGCCUGAUCCAGCAAUGCCGCGUGAGCGAUGAAGGCCUUAGGGUUGUAAAGCUCUUUUACCCGGGAUGAUAAUGACAGUACCGGGAGAAUAAGCUCCGGCUAACUCCGUGCCAGCCGCCGCGGUAAGAC